GAGCGGAAAGGCCCUUCGGGGUACUCGAGCGGCGAACGGGUGAGUAACACGUGAGUAACCUGCCCUUGGCUCUGGGAUAAGCCCGGGAAACUGGGUCUAAUACCGGAUACGACCAUUGGAUGCAUGUCUGGUGGUGGAAAGUUUUUCGGCCGAGGAUGGGCUCGCGGUCUAUCAGCUUGUUGGUGGGGUGAUGGCCUACCAAGGCGACGACGGGUAGCCGGCCUGAGAGGGUGACCGGCCACACUGGGACUGAGACACGGCCCAGACUCCUACGGGAGGCAGCAGUGGGGAAUAUUGCGCAAUGGGCGGAAGCCUGACGCAGCGACGCCGCGUGGGGGAUGAAGGCCUUCGGGUUGUAAACCUCUUUCACCACCGACGAAGCUAACGUGACGGUAGGUGGGGAAGAAGCGCCGGCUAACUACGUGCCAGCAGCCGCGGUAAU
rnacentral:rRNA from 1 species